GGAGGGGGUGAUGUGACACUGCUCUCCUGGUGUUGCGACUGUACAAAAGGAAGCAGAUUUGCAGAGGAGGUGACCCCUAACCUCUAAAGCUGCAGAGAGGGUCCUUGGUGGCCCCAGCACCACCCAAUCAAUCACCUCCCUGAGCCUGCUGGUCAGCCGGACUGUAAGGAGACACCGCGGUACGGACGAGUGGACCCACCCCCAAACAUUCCUUGCUCACUGUUUAUUAUAAUGGAAGCAAAUCAUCCUUACCUAGUUGAAUUCACAUUGUGGCCUAUAUUGGAUUUUUGGAAUACAUUACUGUAAAAAUGUUUGUUGUUUCAAGAAGUCAGACUGUAUACGAAAUAUGCUUUUCCACCACACAAUAAUGUAUGUGAAACCAGAUUUGAGCCUCUGUAUCAUUUAUUGUGUGUAUGUGAAAGGUAGAGCUCUACUAUACAAAAAAUGUUAAAUAAAUGAAUGAAUAAAUGUGAUAAAGUCUUGC